GAUGAACGCUGGCGGCGUGCUUAACACAUGCAAGUCGAACGAAGCACUCUAUUUGAUUUUCUUCGGAGAUAAAGAUUUUGUGACUGAGUGGCGGACGGGUGAGUAACGCGUGGGUAACCUGCCUCAUACAGGGGGAUAACAGUUGGAAACGACUGCUAAUACCGCAUAAGCGCACGGUACCGCAUGGUACCGUGUGAAAAACUCCGGUGGUAUGAGAUGGACCCGCGUCUGAUUAGCUAGUUGGUGGGGUAACAGCCUACCAAGGCGACGAUCAGUAGCCGACCUGAGAGGGUGACCGGCCACAUUGGGACUGAGACACGGCCCAAACUCCUACGGGAGGCAGCAGUGGGGAAUAUUGCACAAUGGGGGAAACCCUGAUGCAGCGACGCCGCGUGAGCGAAGAAGUAUUUCGGUAUGUAAAGCUCUAUCAGCAGGGAAGAAAAAAAUGACGGUACCUGACUAAGAAGCAC
rnacentral:rRNA from 1 species